CCCUUAGAUGUUCGGGGCCGCACGCGCGCUACACUGAAUGAAUCAGCGAGUGUAUGUCCUAGGCCGAAAGGUCCGGGUAACCCGUUGAACCUCAUUCGUGAUUGGGAUAGGGACUUGCAAUUGUUCCCCAUGAACGAGGAAUUCCCAGUAAGCGCGAGUCAUAAGCUCGCGUUGAUUACGUCCCUGCCCUUUGUACACACCGCCCGUCGCUACUACCGAUUGAACGGUUUAGUGAGGGCCUCGGAUUGGUCUCGGCCCGCUCUUUACCGGGCGGCGCCGUUGGUCGAGAAGACGCUCGAACUUGAUCGUUUAGAGGAAGUAAAAGUCGUAACA
rnacentral:rRNA from 1 species